UUCAACGCCUUCUCUGUUACUGGCUCACGUCUAAAAGCUUACUUUUUGGUGUUUUAUUUUUGAAUGUUUGUCAAUCUGGAUUCUGAAACUAAGUUGCAAUCAUGCAUCGAGAAAUAACCAAGAUUAUUGAAUGAACAUCGUCCAUCUUGCAAAGGUGUUUGUUUAUUAGCUGUUUGCAUUUUUGUGCAUUUGAAAGUUAUUAUUUGUUGCGAAUUGUGCUGUCGUUUUUACUUACUCAAUAUGAGUAAGCGAGUAAAGGCCUGCAGUGUACCAGGAUGCACGAAUAAGUAAGCGAUAAGACAUUCCAUCCCUACGAAUAAAGACGUUUGCAGAAUUUGGUUGCAAAGAAUAAAUAACCCCAAGUUAAUGCUUGCAGAUACAAUAUUAUCAUCACAUAGAAUAUGUGAUAUUCAUUUUGAAUCAAUUUGUAGAAACCCCAGGGGCAGGUUAAAAAAACUUUCACUGGCAACUCUACAUUUACCUGGGCAAAGAUCAAAAAUAUAAAGUCUAUGAUGUUGUGAUGAAUAUGGCAUAUGUUAAAUAUAGGGAAAGCUGCAAGAAAGACAUUAAUUAUCCAUGGUUAUAAAAUCAGUUUUUUAUAUACAAUUGUAUGUACCAUGUACAAACAGAAUCAUUUUUUAAACACACCAACAUGUCACUGUUGACAGUCCUAAGCCUGCUAAAGUGUAAAGGAAAAUUUUUUGUUUGUGGAUAUAGUUAUAAAAUGUCAGAAACAAAAUAAAAAUUAUAAUAAUCA